GAAAGGGGAGUAUCAACAAUUCAUCAAACCGACUCAAUGCAGCCCAAACAGGUUAACAGUCGGGGUACAAAGGAUGGUCAGCAACAAUCUUUGGCAGUUGUUAUAUCUCCAAAGGAUGAUGCAGAAUCGCAACCUCCAGCAGUUGCGUAUAAAACACAUUCCAAUCACUUGUUUGAAAUAGAGGAACAUCACGAAACUGUGGCAGCUUUUACAUCUAACAGCCAAGGUGCAAAGGGUGGACAGACGACUGGCCUUGAGAGACACCAAUGCAAUGAAUCCCCGCCUGCUCAAUUAAAAACUACAAAUAGUCAACUACAGUCCAAAUUUCAAAGUUCUACAACCAUAUCCAAUCAUACUUGGCCAAAGAGGAAAGACCU
rnacentral:lncRNA from 1 species